rnacentral:tRNA from 1 species
GCAUUGGUGUUUUAGUGGUAAAAUUAUCUGCCUUCCAUGUAGGAGACCCAGGUAUUAUUCUUGGCCAAUGUA